rnacentral:snRNA from 7 species
AUACUUACCUGGCAGGGGAGACACCAUGAUCACAAAGGUGGUUUUCCCAGGGCAAGACUCAUCCAUUGCACUCCAGAUGUGACCUCUAUGAUUUCCCCAAAUGUGAGAAACUUGACUGUAUAAUUUGUGAUUAUAAUUUUUUAAUUAAAAAAU